CAGUAGCUCAAUAGUAGAGCCCUCGGUUCGCAUGCGGGGGAGACCUGGGUUCAAUUCCCGGCUG
rnacentral:tRNA from 1 species